UCACGAGUCACGACUCCAUUCUUCCUCUUCCCUCUCCUCUCUCCCACCUUGUAACCGCAAACCCUGGAAGGGUUUAAACUUCACGUGAGACAAUAUACAGCUAACAUUGCGGCCGAGGGUGAUGGCGACGGUGACAACACCUCCUGCUACUCUGCCUUUGACAGCAACCUGAAACCCUCAAAAGGUUUAAUCUUCCCGUUAGACAGCCCAGAAGGAGCUUCAAAUCUCAAGCCACAGGUCUAAUUGCUUCAAUUUUCUUUGAAUCACAACUCUAAAUCGAGACUCUGUUAUUUUCCCUGCUAAGAUUAUGAUUUAGAGAAGCCUCAAAUCGCUACAGCGGAGAUGAGGAAUAUGUAUUUGCCUGGCCAAAUACAGAGACUAGGAAGAGGUUAUGAAGUUGCCAUGUUCCCAUGCUUUUCAGUUACGUGCUCUAAGCUUCAUGGAAUGGUAGUAGAGUGUAGUUGACACCAUCAUAAUGAAUCUUCCAUUUGGAACUCGGAAAAAAGGGGCUGAUUAUGGAUUUUUUGUUCAUGGCUUUGAAGGUGGGCUCUCAAGCAGUCUAAUCCUUCCAUAAGACCACAACAUGAGAGAUAUGCAUUAUGGACCUCUUUAUGCUUCUGAUGAACUACAACAUAUAAUCAGGAGCAUAGUGAAAGAUUUGAAAGAUAUACAGAAUUAUAAUUUGAAGAUUGUAGAUAUUCCGAGUUCAGUUGUCAUAAUUGAUUGUAAUAAAGUUAAGUUUAUUCAGCUUAUCAAAGGUAAGUAUAACAUGAAGAAAAUUUUCACUUUAUUAUUAUUAUUAUUUUUUAAACUAUAUAUAUAUAUAUAUAUAUAUUUUUUUUUUUUAGUAGGUCAUGAGCAGUCCUUUGCAAAGAAGCAUAAACAAAGAGGCUCGAGACAUGUUCACUUGAAAGAUUCUAUGGACAUCCAUUUUUUUGGAAGAAGGAUGAUUGAUUUAAAUACAUCCUGACGUUACAUGCGAUACUAAUUGGUGAAGAUCAUAGAUUUGGUCAACAAGCGAUUAAUUGGAUUCGUGAUUUAGUACGAAAUGUGGUACUUGAUAUACAAUUUCAAAGUGGAUUACAAUGGGCGGAUAUGGUUCCAACGUGGCCAUAUCAUGAUGAUUCAGGACAACCAUUCAAGCUAAUUUUUUACAUCAGAAAUCUAUACAACCAUCGUUGGUGUUGUUACGAUGAAAUAGAUUAUGGGAUCUAUCCAAUAUUUCCAAGCCUUCUUUCCCAACUAUAUACACGUCUUUGGGGAUUGUUUCCUCUUCCACAACUACAAAUAGAAGGGUUCAUUCCUUGCCCACAAUGAGAAGAAUGAUUUUUGUCUCCAGCUGUGGUGUUCCUCCUUUUUUUUUUUAUUCACUUGACUCGUUUUGAGUCAAAAUGUGAUUCUCAAUGUGUAUGCUUACUAAUAUCACCUGACCUCAUAACAUAUUUAAACCUUGUCCUUACUAAAAUCACAUGACUACAUAGCAUUCUAAUGUAUACUAUUUCCUUGUUACAAAAACAACACAAUAUAUCAUCCAUAAAUUUUCAGAGAUGUAGUUUUGUGCAAAA